AAACCUAAUGCAUAUAUUACAUAUAUCAACUUUUAGAUCUAAACUAUAAACAUAUAUCACAUAUAUAUUAAUUUUUAAAUUUAAAACUAAAUUUAUACAUAUCAAAUAUAUGCAUAAUCAGAUCUAAAAUAAUGAUUAAAAUAUUUUAAAAAUAUUUAAAAAAAUAAUUCGCAUCAAACUAGGAUAAUAUUUUCAAUAUAAGGGAUAAACCCUAUGCCAGG
rnacentral:lncRNA from 1 species